rnacentral:lncRNA from 1 species
GUGUGUGUGUGAUUAAAACACUUACAAAAAAAAAAUGCCCAGUGAUUUAGAAGUGGGUGUGUGCGACCGUGAGAACAAGACCAAGGGGGAAACCCUAUUUCUUCAAAAUCUUGCAAAUUAAAGGAGAAAAGGGCUAAAUUUUGAAUGCAUGAACUAAGAAUGAUGAUCAUCUAAGCAUACCCAACAUCAAUAUGAAUGUAUGUUGGAACGUGUCAAGGAGAGGUCAAGCAUAGGAGGAUAACGGGUCAAGAUAAGGCAAGGUGACAAAUACACUUAUUGGAGUACUCGAGGUAAGUGAAUUUCGAUUCACUUUUUAGUAGGCUUAAUAGAUUUUAAUACUUAUGUUUACGAAACAUCAUGAAAGAACAUGUGAUAAUCAGAAGUACAAAGCCAAUAAUGCCUCAUUAUUGAAGAAGGUUGUAUUUAAGCCGAAAGUAAAUUGGUGGGUUUAAACGGGUCGAAUUUUAUGUGCAUAUGUUGCGUAAUGUAAUGAAAUUCGUUAUGGUUAAGACCUUGGGUAAGAAUUUUAGUCAUUAUGUAAGGGGAACAUUUCCCGGACCAUUAGGAACAAGUUUUAUAUGAUUCGGUUGUCGGUUAGUGAAUGAACGAAUUGUUUCGUGUUAGUGUAGGAAAUUUUAUAAGUAUAUGUGUAUGGGAAUCCAAAGGCCACGUGGGUUGAAUCGUAGAUUGUCUAUACUAUGUAAAGUUGUAAAUGUGACAUUCCGGCAUAAACCUACAUGUAAAAGAAGCUUGUGUAUAUAUUCGUGAUUAAUUGAUUGUGCGCAGGAAGGAACAUUGGCAUGUAUGAAGGUACGCAUAUAUAUAUAUAUAAGUGUAUAUAUAUAUGUAUGUAUGUAUGAUAAUAAGUACGUAGGUGUGAAUGAAUGUUCAAUGCUUAAGACAUAUGCAUGAACGUAUCAAAGUGUUCGAGUAUUUAUGGAUACUAAUGAUGUGCGUUGAGUUGGAAUGUAAUGUAGGUAUGGGAUCGUUGGCUUCAUGAAGAAAUGGAGCUGGAUUUGGAUAAGAGUAUUUAAGAAAGCGCUUGGACAAUUCCACGACUACUUUAUAGAAUGCUCUACGAAAUUUUAUUAUAUAGUUUAAUGUUGAAUGGUAUGUUAAUGACUAAUGGUUUGGUUGUACGUGGUGUCCACAGGUAUCGCUUGGGUUUUCUCUACAUUUAUUGAAGUGAAGCGGACUUAGUUCGAGUUGAGAGCAAGGAUUGUACGGGGUAGAAUGGUCACAUAGUGUAUCUCAUAUAGGUUUUGAAGUAUUAAUGUUAUAAAACGUUAUAAAUCCGUUUUAAUGAAUAUAUGGCAUUUCGCAUUUGAACCUUCAUGUGUUCGAUAUGUCUAUUAAAGAACGAAAUUUUUGGGCUCUUGUU